rnacentral:rRNA from 1 species
GACGAACGCUGGCGGCGUGCUUAACACAUGCAAGUCGAACGGAAAGGCCCUGCUUUUGUGGGGUGCUCGAGUGGCGAACGGGUGAGUAACACGUGAGUAACCUGCCCUUGACUUUGGGAUAACUUCAGGAAACUGGGGCUAAUACCGGAGAGGAGCUCCUGCUGCAUGGUGGGGGUUGGAAAGUUUCGGCGGCUGGGGAUGGACUCCCGGCUUAUCAGCUUGUUGGUGGGGUAGUGGCUUACCCAGGCUUUGGCGGGUAGCCGGCCUGAGAGGGUGACCGGCCACAUGGGGACUGAGAUACGGACCAGAGUCCUACGGGAGGCAGCAGUGGGGAAUAUUGCACAAUGGGCGGAAGCCUGAGGCAGAAACGCCGCGUGCGUGAUGACGGCCUUCGGGUUGUAAACCGCUUUCGCCUGUGACGAAGCGUGAGUGACGGUAAUGGGUAAAGAAGCACCGGCUAACUACGUG